GCACGGAGUAACAGGCCCGCCCCCAAGACGGUUAGGCGGGCAAGUGAGAGCGUUCGCCGAAGCCUUCCGCUUUUCUUCCGGUGUUCCCUCUCAGCUGGCAAUGCAGUAAAUGCAGUAGCUGGGUCACAAGCCUGACCUAAAAAUUGUGUUCUCUGGGAAGCAGAAGCUGGAACAGAAAUUUCAAGUUCAGGAGUGCCUUUGUGUUCAAACACCUGUGGAAGGGAGAAGGCGGAAGCAGGAUUAGGCAAUGGGAGAAGGAAGUUCAGCAGCAGUGCACCCAUGCAGCCUUGGCCAACCUAGGGAAGCUGUGGGGCCGUUGCGGAGACUGGCCAGAGUUUUACACCCCCUUGUCCAUGAGUCUUUGGAUGUGGGCUGCCCCAGAAGGGUGUGACUUUGGUCGGGCAGCUUUGCAGCUGAAGCAAAACCUGAAAGGACUGACAGUUGAAGUUUGUCUGCUGACAGAACUCCCAGCAACUGGGACAACAAAGACCUUUGAAGGGAGAGCAGAGUCGCCCAUCUGCAUGUCCAGCCUAAAAGGGAACAUAAUAUACAAUGUAAACUUUCCUACGUCAAUCUCUCCCAACCAUAACAUUGCAUGGGAUGAAUCACGUUCACAAUGUUGUGGUGCCCUCACUACCUUCCAUUACUAAAACUUUCUCAUCUUCCUGGUCUUCCCACCCUUGACUACAUGUACUAUUUUUUUCUCGUUUUAUGAGCUUUUGCAUUCUCAUAUUUUCUUUGUAGUUACCAUGGGGCUGAAAUUUAACAUUGUAAAUCUCAACUUUCUGUUAUGCUAAAUUAACUUCAAUAUUGUACGCAAACUGUUCUCCCUAUAUGCCUGAAUCCCCCUUCUAUUAUGUAGUUAUUGUCACAAAUUACAUGUUUAUACAUUAUGUACUGUGCCAGUUUGAAUGUAUU